AACUAUAUAGUCAUGUAAAUGAUGUUGAAUUGCAAAUUCAAAGGAGGGCUACAGGCUCUGUAGUUU
rnacentral:tRNA from 1 species